rnacentral:rRNA from 1 species
GACGAACGCUGGCGGCGUGCUUAACACAUGCAAGUCGAACGGUGAUCUCUCUUCGGAGGGUGAUCAGUGGCGAACGGGUGAGUAACACGUGGGCAACCUGCCCCUGGCUCUGGGAUAACUCCAAGAAAUUGGGGCUAAUACCGGAUAUGACUGCUGGUCGCAUGGCUGGUGGUGGAAAGAUUUUUUGGCUGGGGAUGGGCCCGCGGCCUAUCAGCUUGUUGGUGGGGUGAUGGCCUACCAAGGCGACGACGGGUAGCCGGCCUGAGAGGGUGUCCGGCCACACUGGGACUGAGACACGGCCCAGACUCCUACGGGAGGCAGCAGUGGGGAAUAUUGCGCAAUGGGCGGAAGCCUGACGCAGCGACGCCGCGUGGGGGAUGACGGCCUUCGGGUUGUAAACCUCUUUCAGCAGGGACGAAGCGGUAGUGACGGUACCUGCAGAAGAAGCACCGGCCAACUACGUGCCAGCAGCCGCAGUAAAAC